GAACCUUCGAUUACCUUAUCCGUUGUAGCCAAAGUUCAACGAAGCGGCAACUUUGGCACUCCGCAGAUAAGGCAAUCGAUUGUUU
rnacentral:pre_miRNA from 15 species